UACAGAGGGUGCGAGCGUUAAUCGGAAUUACUGGGCGUAAAGCGUGCGUAGGCGGCUUUGCAAGCCGGAUGUGAAAUCCCCGGGCUUAACCUGGGAACUGCAUUCGGGACUGCAUUGCUAGAGUAUGGGAGAGGGAAGUGGAAUUUCAGGUGUAGCGGUGAAAUGCGUAGAUAUCUGAAGGAACAUCAGUGGCGAAAGCGACUUCCUGGACCAAUACUGACGCUCAUGUGCGAAAGCGUGGGGAGCAAACAGG
rnacentral:rRNA from 1 species